rnacentral:tRNA from 1 species
GCCCGGAUAGCCAAGCCAGGAUUACGGCGACAGCCUGGAAAGCUGUUCUCCUCCGGGAGGCAUGAGUUCGAAUCUCAUUCCGGGCGCCA